rfam:Oryza meridionalis cultivar OR44 (W2112) chromosome 1, whole genome shotgun sequence.
UUUAAGUGCAAUCAUAAAUUUUCGUGUUCAACUUUAAUCAUUUGUCUUAUUUAAAAAAAAUUUAUAAUUAGUUUUUUUUAUUGUUAUGAGAUGAUAAAAUAUUAAUAGUAUUCUAUAUGUGACUUAUGUUUUUCAAAUUUUUUUAAAAAAAUUUAAAUAAGAUGGAUGGUAAAAGUUGUGCACGGAAAAUUAUGGUUGCGCUUAAG